rnacentral:rRNA from 1 species
UGGGGAAUAUUGCACAAUGGGCGCAAGCCUGAUGCAGCCAUGCCGCGUGUAUGAAGAAGGCCUUCGGGUUGUAAAGUACUUUCAGCGAGGAGGAAGGCGUUGUGGUUAAUAACCGCAGCGAUUGACGUUACUCGCAGAAGAAGCACCGGCUACUCCGUGCCAGCAGCCGCGGUAAUACGGAGGGUGCAAGCGUUAAUCGGAAUUACUGGGUGUAAAGCGCACGCAGGCGGUCUGUCAAGUCGGAUGUGAAAUCCCCGGGCUCAACCUGGGAACUGCAUCCGAAACUGGCAGGCUAGAGUCUUGUAGAGGGGGGUAGAAUUCCAGGUGUAGCGGUGAAAUGCGUAGAGAUCUGGAGGAAUACCGGUGGCGAAGGCGGCCCCCUGGACAAAGACUGACGCUCAGGUGCGAAAGCGUGGGGAGCAAACA